UUGUAAUUUUUCAUAUCAAUUUUAGUUAUCAUUUUAUUUUGCACAUCAAUAUGUAAAUGUAAAUUGUUUUGCAUACCAAUUCAUAGAUAAUAGAGCAUGAUUGAAUUUUGCAUUUUACUUGAAUAUUUACUUUAGUCCAAUUUUUUUUUUUUCUCUAGCUUGUGUACUUUAAUAUGUACUAUAAUUAAGAUUGAUAGUAUAUUUUUUUAUUUGUUAAAAAAUACAAAAUUAAUUAGAAAAUUUUUUUGUUAUCAUCACAUAAUAAUUUUUAUUAUUCUAUAUUAUUAUAUUAGCCGUGCAUCGCACGGGUGAAAAUCUAGUUAAAUCUUUAAAGAUAAACGAAACAACGAAACAUUCAACAUUUAAAGUCAAAAUACUGUUAACAAAACCCUCUCCAUUUGUAGCUCUCAUGC
rnacentral:lncRNA from 1 species